rnacentral:rRNA from 1 species
GAUGAACGCUGGCGGCGUGCCUAAUACAUGCAAGUCGAACGCAGUGGGGACGGGUGAGUAACACGUGGGUAACCUCCCAUCAGAGGGGAGAACAUGUGGAAACAGGUGCUAAACCGAUACUGAUGGAUGGACCCGCGGUGCAUUAGCUAGUUGGUGAGGUAACGGCUAACCAAGGUCACGAUGCCUAGCCGGCCUGAGAGGGUGAUCGGCCACACUGGUACGGAGACACGGCCCAGACUCCUACGGGAGGCAGCAGUAGGGAAUCUUGGGCAAUGGGCGAAAGUCUGACCGAGCCACGCCGCGUGUAUAAAGAAGGUUUUCGGGUCGUAAAACUCUGUUGGUAGAGAAGCGGUAUCUGACCAAAAAGCCACGGCUAACUACGUGCCAGCCGCCGCGGUAAUAC